rnacentral:rRNA from 1 species
AACGAACGCUGGCGGCAGGCUUAACACAUGCAAGUCGAACGCCCCGCAAGGGGAGUGGCAGACGGGUGAGUAACACGUGGGAACAUGCCCAAAGGUACGGAAUAUUCUCGGGAAACUGGGAGCAAUACCGUAUGUGCCCGAAAGGGGAAAGAUUUAUCGCCUUUGGAUUGGCCCGCGUUGGAUUAGCUAGUUGGUGGGGUAAAAGCCUACCAAGGCGACGAUCCAUAGCUGGACUGAGAGGACGACCAGCCACACUGGGACUGAGACACGGCCCAGACUCCUACGGGAGGCAGCAGUGGGGAAUCUUGGACAAUGGGCGCAAGCCUGAUCCAGCCAUGCCGCGUGAGUGAUGAAGGCCCUAGGGUUGUAAAAACUCUUUCGUGGGGGACGAUAAUGACGGUACCCCAAGAAGAAGCUCCGGCUAACUUCGUGCCAGCAGCCGCGGUAAAGUCGAUA